AAUUGUUUGAUAGGAAGCAAGGCUAUGGCCUAAACUCUUUGCCUAAUUCUAGAGUAAGCUCGUCAUACGUUGGAGUCAUCAUAUCUAACAUGAUGACCAUCAUGACAUCUCUUCAGAAACAAAUAAGUGAUGUCACUGAAAUUUCAUCCUUGUACACUCUAUUAUUAUGACCCCAAUUCAAACUCAUGUCACAUGCCAAUACAUCAUGUAAGCCUAUACUAAAGCCAUUAUUAUUGUCCAUUAGAAGAGAUCACUCACAAGCUUAUUAGUGUUAUCUAACAUCAACGCUACAGUAGGCUUGGAUGUUUCCCAUGAUGUCAUUGGUUAAUUACCUGGCUGACGCAGAAACACAUGAUGGCGACCUGCAAAGAUGGCGUACAAAAGUUACAACGAGUGGUGCGCUUCUUGCCUACCUAUGACUGGAUGGAAAACAUGGACCGGACUUUACGGGACUCUGGACUGGCUUACUUUAUUUCCGUGAGCAUUGAACUUUUGCUUUCAUGGUCUCUUUCGUCUCUAUGCAAUUACUGGCACUAAAUGUUAACAUAUAAAACAUGUUGCUUAUUGCCUGUGGAUAAAAUAUUGGUUGAAAUUUUAAA